rnacentral:rRNA from 1 species
UACGAAGGGGGCUAGCGUUGUUCGGAAUUACUGGGCGUAAAGCGCUCGCAGGCGGAUUGAUAAGUCGGGGGUGAAAUCCCGGGGCUCAACCUCGGAAUUGCCUUCGAUACUGUCUAUCUAGAGUCCGGGAGAGGUGAGUGGAAUUCCUAGUGUAGAGGUGAAAUUCGUAGAUAUUAGGAAGAACACCAGUGGCGAAGGCGGCUCACUGGCCCGGAACUGACGCUCAUGAGCGAAAGCGUGGGGAGCAAAC